rnacentral:tRNA from 2 species
GGCGAGGUAGCUCAGCUGGUAGAGCAGAGGACUGAAAAUCCUUGUGUCGGGGGUUCAAUUCCCCCCCUUGCCACCA